rnacentral:rRNA from 1 species
UCCACGCCCUAAACGAUGAAUGUUAGUCGUCGGGAUGCAAGUCAUUUCGGUGAUGCAGUUAACACAUUAAACAUUCCGCCUGGGGAGUACGGUCGCAAGAUUAAAACUCAAAGGAAUAGACGGGGACCCGCACAAGUGGUGGAGCAUGUGGUUUAAUUCGAAGAUACGCGAAGAACCUUACCUAGCCUUGACAUUGAUAGAAUCCCGUAGAGAUACAGGAGUGCCCCGGGGAC